GGUUUCAUAGUGUAGUGGUCAUCAUGUCUGCUUUAUACGCCGAAGGCCCUGGGUUCAUUCCCCAGUGAAAGCA
rnacentral:tRNA from 2 species